UCAAUAAAUGGGAUGGUAUCAAAAAAUGGAUUUACCUAGCUGCUUGAAUUUUAAUUUAUUCUCUGGUUCCAAACAUAGUUGUAAUAAGACAUAAGACUCCUCUUACCUUGGUAUCUUUUUUUUCUGCGUCUUUUGUUCUUUUUCAGUAUACCUCGCCUUCUCUUGUUCUCCCCUUUCAUUUGGUUGUUUUGUUUCUUUAGUUGCUGGUUCUUUUUCAGUAUUCCUUGCCUUCCCUUGUUCUCCUCUUUCACCCUAGUACUAGGGCUACUGUGCAAACUCUGGUUUUGAUGACAUACCAUUUUGGGGACUUACAUAGGUGUAAUUCACAAGGGAUGGAGCAUUGUUUUCAGGGGGAACAAGGUCCACCCGUCUACAUUGACAGAGCUUUUCUUCAAGUUGAGAUGAGAAGACUUUACACUUGGGCAGCCAUGAUGUCAUAGAGGAGCCACGCCCUGCCUCCAGGUAUAAGUAAACUCAUAGCUCAUUGUGAAAUAGUGACUGUCCAUGUGAAGCCAGGACACGGUAACUUUUUCAGUGACUGCAAUUACUUCUACACAGUCCAGGUGAUUCAUAUAAAGUCUCUAUACUUCUAGGGAAAGACAGCCCAUUCUAUAGCCAUGGUAAAAGUCAGAUCCCUAACCAGUAUCUAAAGCUGUCCAAUCCAUUACUGAUCCCUCCCUGAAACACAGUGAGUAUUGUCACAAACGUGUCCCUAAGACAAACCUACCUCCAAAUCUGCAAUUUGCUUUGCUUUGAGACUGCCUGUUUCUUUUGACUUUAGAAAUUGUGUUAUGUUGGGUUAGGUGUAUAACUCGGUGGUAGAGUACAUGCUUAGGUAUGCAAGGCAUAAUGUUCUUAUACUUUAUUAGUUUUCCAUUAUUUCUUGUUUAUUUAUGCUUAUAGUGCAAAGUUCAAUCAUGUAUGUUAUGUACAAUACUAAAUUUGAUAGUUAUUGGGCAUAAAUGAAGGUAUAUUUUAGAUAGUCACAGGCUAGAAUAAGUAUGAUGUCCCUAAGAGAACUGGAUGAACAUUUCAUUUAUUCAAAAUUGUCAGUUCUUUCUGAUCUUGUGGUUUGAUUUUCUUUUUAAAUUUUCAAAGUCCUGCCUCUUAUGCCCCAUUCAACUUCUGAAUGUCCUCUUAAAAAUAUUUAAACCAACAUUUAGAUAUCUGGCAAUUUCACAUUUAAGUCCAGAGUUCCAUAUUUUCUAGAUAAAAUGGUAAUUUGGAUUCUGGGGUCUUCAUUUCUGCAUUGCAGCACUCAGCAGUAAGGAAGGAGCUUUUUGCUGCUGUGUUUAAAGAGAGUAUAGGCUUUCUUUCAUUACUAUGGUUUCAGAAUUUCCUAUGAUUGCCCCAACAGGGAGACAGAUAGUCAAUUUCCCUUUAUCAUCACUUUUCUUGACUUUUUUUUCUUAUAAUAGGGACCUAUUACUCUGCACACAAUUCUCUGUCAUUCAGUUGUUUGUGUUAAUUGGAUUGUAGCACAGAGUGAACUUUAGAGUUCGUUUAUGUGCUCUUAAAUUUGACCCCUUUUUACCAAUAAAAAGUAGCAGGGUGACAAACCCUUUACUAAUCAUUUUUGUGAUAAGACUUUUUUCCCAUUACUGGUAUGAUAUAUCUUGAUUUCAGAUUUUUUAAGGCUAUAAGUUUAAGUGUUCAUACCUCACUUUUGGGAAAGAUUUUGUCUUUUCUCCUAACUUCUUCUGCUAAUAGCAUAUUCUUUGUCUCUUGAGAAAAUAUUUUUAUCCCUGGCUUUAUACUACCAUAGACUAUAAAAAUGGUGUCAGAUUAUUUUACCCCUUCUAUCUAUGGUUCAUGGAAGUGCUCUUCUACACUGACUCUGGAUUGUUGUUAUGAAUUCCUUUGGCUGAUAGGACAUUAAAAACAUGAUGCAAGCAAAGACUUGGAGCACUGGGGCUUACUCUCUUGUUCAGUUUGGGAACUCUGUCAUUAUCACUAUGUGAAUGAGUCUGAGUGAACCUGCUGGAUGAUGAGACAUACAUGCAAAAGCCAAAAUAUUUAUGUAGACAUCAGACCUGGAGGCUUAUGAUUGAAACAGGAGGUGGAGAAUGCUAGAAUCAUGUUCAUAUCAUGCUGACUACAUGUGAAGAGAAAUUGAAGCCCUUUAAAGCCCUCAUCAAUGAUCAAAUCGGCAACAGGAGUGGAGAAAAGAUUUGGAAAUACAAGGGGAAGAACUGAAGGAACAGGAGCAAGGGAUAUUGCUGUUGUUCCUGUGUUGGGGACCACAUUUUACACAUUAUGCGGGACACUGCAAAUAAUGUUACACAGAUACAUAAGAAUGCAUGGAAC